AGAGUAACACGUACAGUGCAAAAGGAAAAAAGAACAUUAAGUAUUCGUGCAAGACUCUUACACCCGAAUUAGUUCCUGCCACCCUCUCCACGCCUCCACCCCCAGAGGCGGCCACUGUCCACCCUUCAGGCUGGUUCUUCUGAUGGUUCCCUCCGUGCGUCUCUGCCCCCUCGGCUUCUUGAUUCCGUGGUUGUGGGCAUUUUCCUCUCACUGCACGGUGUGUGGAACGCACUGGUUGGGGCAGCAGAGCCGCCGAAGUUGCUCAGACAGCACAGGGUCCGACGUCUUAGGUGAGACAGUGAGAAGGAGUCUCUGAAGCCGUCCUUAGAGCUCAUCCCCCGGGGAACAGCAGGUCUCAGCUGGUCAGCAGUGGGUGUCGCCGUCCUGGACGAGCGUGUGCACCCAGCACCUCGGGAGCACCCUGAGGCCCCUUCCUUCCACACGAACUUCUCUGACGUCAUCCCUGCCUCUUCCUCCCUCUGUGUCAGCUCAUUUCACGCGUCCGGGCGGCUGGUCCACGGGGACCCGGGGAUUUGGUGGAACAUUCCUCUGGGCGUCUCUGGGUGAGCCUGGCAUCUGAACGGACUGGUGAGCUGAGCAAGGCCGGUGCCCUCGGGCGCCGUGGGCCUCGUCCAGCCUGGAGACCUGAAGAGCGCAAAGGCGAGUCCGCUCUCCCCGCCCCGGGGCCUCGACUCGAACAGCGGUCUCCUGCCUUUGGACGAGGACUGGAACCACGGCGGCUGCCCCGGUCCCCAGCCGGCCGCCUGUAGAUCCGAGGACCCGUCGGCUGCCAGAGCUGCUGCCAGCUCCCCACGAGGCUGCACGUGUGUGUGUCCGCUCGGCAGGUUCACUCGCGAGCUCUCCCUGGACAGCCUGUGGCCCCGCCAGGCCGCCGCCCCGCUCCUCCUGCCGUGGGUCCUUCUGGGCCGCCGCCCUGCCCCCGGGGCCCGAGGUCCAUCCCAAGGCACCAGCCCCAGCCGGCCUCUUCCCCGGUCCACCCCCUCUGCUGGCCGCGUCCUCCUUGUCCUCGAAGUGCCUCGUCAAAGCUGAGGCGGGGGGACCUUGCAUGGGUGUGGAAAUGUCCCCAGCCCCUCGCCCUGCCGGGCGCCUGACCGGAUGGUUGGUUCUGGCCAGAACGUCGUCUGCCCACGGCGAGGGCUGCCCGGGCCGCCCGCGGGCCCUCGAGGGGCCUCCCUGCGCGGUGCGCCAGGGGCUGUGUGCCCGGAGCGAGCGGUGCCUGGCCUCUGGGGACUUCCUGCGGUUUCCUCUAUCGUUUUCUCUUCUGUCGGGAGGUCCAGUUCCACGUGCAGUUAUGGGAAUGGGCCCCUGUUUCCAUACCUUUCCUCUUUAUGUCUCUGUCUCUACAAGAGAGUUUCUCAAUUUUAUCUUUCAAUCCAACUGUCUUUUCCGCAUUUCCACCAACACAUGGAGUCCGUCCUGCUUCCUCUUUA